rnacentral:rRNA from 1 species
AGCGAACGCUGGCGGCAGGCCUAACGCAUGCAAGUCGAACGAAGUCUUCGGACUUAGUGGCGGACGGGUGAGUAACACGUGGGAACGUGCCUUUAGGUUCGGAAUAACUCAGGGAAACUUGUGCUAAUACCGAAUGUGCCAUUCGGGGGAAAGAUUUAUCGCCUUUAGAGCGGCCCGCGUCUGAUUAGCUAGUUGGUGGGGUAAUGGCCCACCAAGGCUACGAUCAGUAGCUGGUCUGAGAGGAUGACCAGCCACAUUGGGACUGAGACACGGCCCAAACUCCUACGGGAGGCAGCAGUGGGGAAUCUUGCGCAAUGGGCGAAAGCCUGACGCAGCCAUGCCGCGUGGAUGAUGAAGGUCUUAGGAUUGUAAAAUCCUUUCACCGGUGAAGAUAAUGACUGUAGCCGGAGAAGAAGCCCCGGCUAACUUCGUGCCAGCCGCCGCCGUAAGAC